rnacentral:lncRNA from 1 species
AUACUUGGGACAUACUGUGAGGAUGUUAUUAGCCAAAUGUCAGAAUUAGCCAAAUGCUUUCACAUCUUCCUGCAAUCUAGUCUUGUGUUUAUGAGAAUCCUUUCUGAAUUCUCUUGACUCACAGUGGACCUUUUUUUCCCUUAGAAAUCAAGUGUAGUUUUCCAACCACUGUAUUAUCUAUUUCAUAGCUGGGGAAACUGCUGAACCUCAGCAAAAUAAAUUGGUGACAGAAGCAAGAACUAAAAAUGAGAUCUCUCUCUGGGCCUCAUAUGCUAUUACAGCAUACAUUGCCUUGAAAACAUUUUUGGUAGCAAUAAAAGUAAAAUGAUUUUGGUGAAAAUGAGUCUAUACUGGAAAAUCAGGUUGAAUUCCCUUUGUUUAUAAGUGUCCUUAGGGAUAUGACCAAGACAAAUUAUUUCCUAUACAGUGAGGAAGGAAACAGAAGUCUAACAUACACUAAUCAAAAUGCUAUCUUCUUAUGUACCAAAUUCCAAUAUUAGAAUAUUAAGACUUUAAUGCCAGUGGCACGACUAUCAUUUUGGUAUUGACUGAUUUGUUUAAUCAACCAAUCUUUAUUUGGUGUCUAUUAUGGGUUACAAACUAUGCGAUAUCCUAAAAAUAACUACAAAUUAAGGGCUUAAUGCUUAGGUAUUUACUUUUUAAAAAAAUGUUAAGUAUUUGCUUUUUUUCUUUUUUAAUAUCUGUGCAGAAGGAGCACUGGGCUGUGACUCAGGAGAUCUGGGUUGUUUUCCGGCGGAUACAUUAUUCCUUUCUCAAGUGCGGACAAUGACGUCUGCCCUUGCUCCCCUGGGAAGGCCCCCUGGCAGGGUGAGAUGGGUGCUGAAACUGAGUGGCAAGAAAGAGCCAGCCAAUUAAGAGCUUUCCAGGGAAUGGGAAGAAACAGUCAAAAGGUUGGUCAGACUAGUGAGCCAGGGGAGCAGAGAAAACACUUGGGAAUGGAGGCGCAGUGUGGAGGAAGAGCUUCCACAGCAAUGUUUAAGAAAGCAAACGAGUAAAGCAGGGACACAGUUUUAUCUUUAAAACCUCGAACACUGCUAGGCACACAGUGUAUGCUGGAUCAGGAUUUGCUGAAUGAAUGACUGAAUGAACUGAAGGGCAUAACCCAGAAUUAAUACAAUGUCACUGAUUUUUUAGAAGAAUCAUACCGUCUGUUGGGCAGAGAAUGGACUGAAGGGAGGUGGACAGGAAGGAAACAAGGGGACUGAGUAGGAGCCGUGCAAGAAUUUGGGCAGGAAAUGACGGCAGGCUGGCCUGGGGCGGUGGUUGCAGACAGGAUGACACUCGAUGCGUCGCAUACGAAGUGAUUAGUGGCAGAAAGGACUCCUGAGGAAUUCUUGGGUUUUGUCUUAAUCUCCUGGAAGAUGGCAGCGCUUCUGACAGAUGUAGCCAGUAUUGGGCUUGGGUGAGGUACCAAGCAGGGAGGGUUUAGGACUGACCCUGGAGGGCUGUGACUUUAAAAGGUGAGUGUAGAAGAGCCAGCCAGGGGAGUGUGCUGUGGAGGAGCCAGGAAUGGAGACGGUCUGAAGUUGAAGGUAGGCGUCAACCAUGACACACUCUGCAAGUGGUCAAGGUGAAAAGGAGGUGACCAGAUCUGGCAAUGUGGAGGUGACCGGUCACUGUGAGGACAGCAGGCCUGGUGGAGCGGUGGGGAUGCGAUCCCAACUGCAGGAGGCCAAGCAGAGGGUGGAAGGUGGCAAGCUGGAAAGAAUAACUCUAAAAAAUUCUUUGAAGGAGCUCUGCUAUGUAUGGGAAUAGAGCAAUUGGACUGUAGCUAAAUGGGAUGUGGGAUCAAGAGGGUGAUUGUUUCGGUGUGUUUUGUUUUUAAAGAUGAGGAAAUCAUGAAAUGCUUGCUAGGUGACCUAGUCGGAGAGUGGGGAGGAGGAACGGCUAGUACAGGAGAGAGAGGUAAGAAUUAACAGGAACAACAACCUAGUAAAGGUGAGGGGGUUAGACUCAGGGGAGAGGUGGCUCCUCAGCUGGGCAAAGAAAUUUAACCCACCAAGUCCGGAUGGAAGGCUGCCAAUGUGGGCACAGGCACAGGUGGGCUGGCACUUGGUGCAAAGGUGAGAGGGUUCUGGUUUCUUCUGUUUUCAACAGAGUGUGAAGCAAGGGUGUUGCAUGAGUAAGGGGAGGGAAGGAGUGUUGGGGGUUUAGAAAUAGAAAGCAUGGAAUCAUCAUUUACAGAGUGGGAGAAUAAAAUUGUAGGAAAUAUAGGAUUACUGGGCUGGGUUGAGAGUCCAUUUCAUAUGGUUGCGAGACUUUUGGUGGCAUGACACGUAGUCCCAUAUAUGGUGGGGGACAAGGUCAGUGUCAUAAGCUUGAGAGAGGAGGCAAAGGAAGAAGGAGAUGGUUCUCUCUUUAAGAUUUGUGAUGACUACAAGGAACAAUCAGCCAAAAGUCUGCGAGAAUCAAGCUUUACAGGCAAAAUGACCUUACGGAUACCAAUGACCCCAAAACGGAUUUUGGCCAUAGUUUUGGAGUGAGAGAUACACGUGAACCAGCAAACCAUCUCUCCAAGGAGGAUGAGGAAGAUGCUUCGGGUCGAUGAAGGGAAGGAGACAAAUGGAAAGGUAAGAAGUGGGCAAGGGCAGGAGCCCCAUACAGCAGACUGGUGGGAGUAGGGGAAAGACAGUGAGGUGGGAAAAGCAAUCAGGGGCAGGAAGGAGGAAACCUCAGGAGCCGAACCCCAUCUUGGUUUCAUGCCAGUGCAGUCGCUCAGCCAGAAAGGCUGGCUGGGGUCACUGGGCUCCCAUCACCAACGUCCAAGCUCUGCUUCUGCCGAAGUGGCUCCCAGGCUCCUUGCCUCUCCCUGAAUUCUGCAUAUGCCCAUCAAAGGGCCUCGCUGUGUCUCCAGCUAACUCUCCCUUUGCAGUGUUGGAAGACCUCUGGAAAAAACAGUUCCUCAACUUGUAUUUUCAGCCCACCUAAUUAAUUCCUAAGAAAACCUGAUUUGGGCAAAACUCUGGUGUUCCCACUUUUCCUCACUUGGAGCUGUCUUUCUGCUUUUGAAAGACAC